UGUGGUUCUUGGGUGACACCCCAGAAUUGGGCUCCCUCCUCUCUGGUUCCGGGUGCAUCACCCAAGAACUACC
rfam:Myotis lucifugus cont2.40949, whole genome shotgun sequence.